AUUGAACGCUGGCGGCAUGCUUUACACAUGCAAGUCGAACGGUAACAGGUUAAGCUGACGAGUGGCGAACGGGUGAGUAAUGCAUCGGAACGUGCCCGAUCGUGGGGGAUAACGCAGCGAAAGCUGCGCUAAUACCGCAUACGAUCUGAGGAUGAAAGCGGGGGACCGUAAGGCCUCGCGCGAUCGGAGCGGCCGAUGUCAGAUUAGGUAGUUGGUGGGGUAAAGGCCCACCAAGCCGACGAUCUGUAGCUGGUCUGAGAGGACGACCAGCCACACUGGGACUGAGACACGGCCCAGACUCCUACGGGAGGCAGCAGUGGGGAAUUUUGGACAAUGGGCGAAAGCCUGAUCCAGCAAUGCCGCGUGCAGGAAGAAGGCCUUCGGGUUGUAAACUGCUUUUGUACGGAGCGAAAAGGCCCUUUCUAAUACAGGGGGCUCAUGACGGUACCGUAAGAAUAAGCACCGGCUAACUACGUGCCAGCCGCCGCGGUAAAAC
rnacentral:rRNA from 1 species